rnacentral:misc_RNA from 1 species
GAUGAAGAACGCAGCGAAAUGCGAUAAGUAAUGUGAAUUGCAGAAUUCAGUGAAUCAUCGAAUCUUUGAACGCACAUUGCGCCCGCCAGUAUUCUGGCGGGCAUGCCUGUUCGAGCGUCAUUUCAACCAUCAAGCCCCGGGCUUGUGUUGGGGACCUGCGGCUGCCGCAGGCCCUGAAAUGCAGUGGCGGGCUCGCUGUCACUCCGAGCGUAGUAGUUACAUCUCGCUCUGGGCGUGCUGCGGGUUCCGGCCGUUAAAAGCCUUAUUUACCCAAGGUUGACCUCGGAUCAGGUAGGAAGACCCGCUGAACUUAAGCAUAUCAAUAACGGAGGA